ACUGGCUUAUUUUGCUUAGCAUAAUGCUCUCCAGUUCCAUCCAUGCUGUUGCAAGUGGUAAGAAUUCCUUCUUUUUACAGCAGCAUAGUAUUCCAUUAUGCACCACUGUUUUUUAAUCCACUCAUCUGCUGAUAGGCACUUAGGCUGUUUCCAAAUCUUAGCUAUUGUAAAUUGUGCUGCUAUGAACAUAGGGUGCAUAUAUUCUUUCUGAUUGGUGUUUCUGGCUUCUUAGGAUACAUUCCUAGAAAUGGGAUCACUGGGUCAAAUGGCAGUUCCAUUUUUAAUUUUUUUGAGGAAACUCCACACUGAUUUCCAUAGUGGCUGAACCAGUCUGCAUUCCCACCUGCAGUGUACUAGGAUUCCCUUUUCUCCACAUCCUCACCAG